UACGUAGGGGGCAAGCGUUGUCCGGAUUUAUUGGGCGUAAAGAGCUCGUAGGCGGUUCCGUAAGUCGGAUGUGAAAAAUCUGGGCUCAACCCAGUGGAGCACCCGAUACUGCGGUGACUCGAGUCCGGUAGGGGAGUGUGGAAUUCCUGGUGUAGCGGUGAAAUGCGUAGAUAUGCGGAGGAACACCGAUGGCGAAGGCAAUCCCCUGGGCCUGCACUGACGCUCAUGCACGAAAGCGUGGGGAGCAAACAGG
rnacentral:rRNA from 1 species